rnacentral:rRNA from 1 species
GGAGUUAGCCGGUGCUUCUUCUGUGAGUGAUGUCCUUCCUGCCGGUUAUUGACCCGCAGGCCUUCUUCCUCACUGAAAGUGCUUUACAACCCGAAGGCCUUCUUCACACACGCGGCAUGGCUGGAUCAGGGUUGCCCCCAUUGUCCAAUAUUCCCCACUGCUGCCUCCCGUAGGAGUCUGGGCCGUGUCUCAGUCCCAGUGUGGCUGAUCAUCCUCUCAGACCAGCUACGGAUCGUCGCCUUGGUGAGCCGUUACCUCACCAACCAGCUAAUCCGACAUAGGCUCAUCCGAUAGCGCGAGGCCCGAAGGUCCCCCGCUUUCCCCCGUAGGGCGUAUGCGGUAUUAGCCUGGGUUUCCCCAGGUUAUCCCCCACUACCGGGCAGAUUCCUAUGCAUUACUCACCCGUCCGACGCUCGCCACCAGGGAGCAAGCUCCCCGUGCUGCCGCUCGACUUGCAUGUGUUAGGCCUGCCGCCAGCGUUCAAUCUGAGCCAUGAUCAAACUCUGA